rnacentral:rRNA from 1 species
AUUGAACGCUGGCGGCAUGCUUUACACAUGCAAGUCGAACGGUAACAGGCCUUCGGGUGCUGACGAGUGGCGAACGGGUGAGUAAUGCAUCGGAACGUGCCCAGAGGUGGGGGAUAACGCAGCGAAAGCUGUGCUAAUACCGCAUGUGAUCUGAGGAUGAAAGCGGGGGACCAGGCAGCAAUGUUUGGCCUCGCGCCUUUGGAGCGGCCGAUGUCAGAUUAGGUAGUUGGUGGGGUAAAGGCCUACCAAGCCGACGAUCUGUAGCUGGUCUGAGAGGACGACCAGCGACACUGGGACUGAGACACGGCCCAGACUCCUACGGGAGGCAGCAGUGGGGAAUUUUGGACAAUGGGCGCAAGCCUGAUCCAGCAAUGCCGCGUGCGGGAAGAAGGCCUUCGGGUUGUAAACCGCUUUUGUACGGAACGAAAAGGCUCUGGCUAAUACCUGGGGCUGAUGACGGUACCGUAAGAAUAAGCACCGGCUAACUACGUG